UUCGUAGGCGGUGUGGCAAGUCGGGAGUGAAAUCUAUGGGCUUAACUCAUAGGCUGCUUCCGAAACUGCUGUGCUUGAGUGUGGGAGAGGCGCGUGGAAUUGCAGGUGUAGCGGUGAAAUGCGUAGAUAUCUGCAGGAACACCCGUGGCGAAAGCGGCGCGCUGGACCACAACUGACGCUGAGGAACGAAAGCUAGGGGAGCAAACAGGAUUAGAUACCCUGGUAGUCCUAGCCCUAAACGAUCAGGACUUGGGGUGCCACCCGUUCGGGUGUCGUCCCGGAGCUAACGCGUUAAGUCCUGCACCUGGGGAGUACGGUCGCAAGACUGAA
rnacentral:rRNA from 1 species